CCUACGGGAGGCAGCAGUCGGGAAUAUUGGGCAAUGGAGGAAACUCUGACCCAGCAAUACCGCGUGAAGGAUGAAGGUUUUCGGAUUGUAAACUUCUGUUAUAAAGGAAGAAGCAAGACGGUACCUGACGAAGAAGCCCCGGCUAACUACGUGCCAGCAGCCGCGGUAAUACGGAGGGGGCGAGCGUUAUCCGGAUUCACUGGGUGUAAAGGGAGCGUAGACGGCCAUGCAAGCCAGGGGUGAAAGCCCGGGGCCCAACCCCGGGACUGCCCUUGGAACUGCAUGGCUGGAGUGCGGGAGGGGCAGGCGGAAUUCCUGGUGUAGCGGUGAAAUGCGUAGAUAUCAGGCGGAACACCGGCGGCGAAGGCGGCCUGCUGGACCGCGACUGACGUUGAGGCUCGAAAGCGUGGGGAGCGAACAGGAUUAGAUACCCGAGUAGUC
rnacentral:rRNA from 1 species